rnacentral:ncRNA from 2 species
GUAUUACAAAGGCAAACUCUUUGAAAAAAGAGGACGCAAAGCCACGGGCCUAAGGACCUUAGUCUAUGGCGGCCGGGUUGCCUUA